UUAAUUUAAAAGAAAGUAGUUAAACUCUACUAUUAAGGA
rnacentral:tRNA from 1 species